AGUGAACGCUGGCGGUAGGCCUAACACAUGCAAGUCGAACGGCAGCACAAUAAGAGCUUGCUCUUACGGGUGGCGAGUGGCGGACGGGUGAGGAAUACAUCGGAAUCUACUUUUUCGUGGGGGAUAACGUAGGGAAACUUACGCUAAUACCGCAUACGACCUACGGGUGAAAGCAGGGGAUCUUCGGACCUUGCGCGAUUGAAUGAGCCGAUGUCGGAUUAGCUAGUUGGCGGGGUAAAGGCCCACCAAGGCGACGAUCCGUAGCUGGUCUGAGAGGAUGAUCAGCCACACUGGAACUGAGACACGGUCCAGACUCCUACGAGAGGCAGCAGUGGGGAAUAUUGGACAAUGGGCGCAAGCCUGAUCCAGCCAUACCGCGUGGGUGAAGAAGGCCUUCGGGUUGUAAAGCCCUUUUGUUGGGAAAGAAAAGCAGCAGGUUAAUACCCCGCUGUUCUGACGGUACCCAAAGAAUAAGCACCGGCUAACUUCGUG
rnacentral:rRNA from 1 species